rnacentral:rRNA from 1 species
GAUGAACGCUGGCGGCGUGCUUAACACAUGCAAGUCGAACGGUGAAGGUGGGAGCUUGCUCCUGCUGGAUCAGUGGCGAACGGGUGAGUAACACGUGAGUAACCUGCCCCGGACUCUGGGAUAAGCGUUGGAAACGACGUCUAAUACCGGAUACGAGACGAGAAGGCAUCUUCAUCGUCUGGAUAGAUUUUUUGGUCUGGGAUGGACUCGCGGCCUAUCAGGUUGUUGGUGAGGUAAUGGCUCACCAAGCCUACGACGGGUAGCCGGCCUGAGAGGGUGACCGGCCACACUGGGACUGAGACACGGCCCAGACUCCUACGGGAGGCAGCAGUGGGGAAUAUUGCACAAUGGGCGAAAGCCUGAUGCAGCAACGCCGCGUGAGGGACGACGGCCUUCGGGUUGUAAACCUCUUUUAGUAGGGAAGAAGCGAAAGUGACGGUACCUGCAGAAAAAGCACCGGCUAACUACGUGCCAGCAGCCGCCGUAA